CCUACGGGAGGCAGCAGUGAGGAAUAUUGGUCAAUGGGCGAGAGCCUGAACCAGCCAAGUCGCGUGAAGGAUGAAGGAUCUAUGGUUUGUAAACUUCUUUUAUAUGGGAAUAAAGUGAGGAACGUGUUCCUUUUUGUAUGUACCAUAUGAAUAAGCAUCGGCUAACUCCGUGCCAGCAGCCGCGGUAAUACGGAGGAUGCGAGCGUUAUCCGGAUUUAUUGGGUUUAAAGGGUGCGUAGGCGGAGCGUUAAGUCAGUGGUCAAAUUGAGGGGCUCAACCCCUUCCCGCCAUUGAAACUGGCGCUCUUGAGUGGAAGAGAAGUAUGCGGAAUGCGUGGUGUAGCGGUGAAAUGCAUAGAUAUCACGCAGAACCCCGAUUGCGAAGGCAGCAUGCCGGCUUCCUGCUGACGCUGAAGCACGAAAGCGUGGGGAUCGAACAGGAUUAGAUACCCUAGUAGUC
rnacentral:rRNA from 1 species